rnacentral:rRNA from 1 species
CCUACGGGUGGCUGCAGUGGGGAAUAUUGGACAAUGGGCGAAAGCCUGAUCCAGCCAUGCCGCGUGUGUGAAGAAGGCCUUCGGGUUGUAAAGCACUUUCAGUGGGGAAGAAAGCCUUGGGGCUAAUACCCUCGAGGAAGGACAUCACCCACAGAAGAAGCACCGGCUAACUCCGUGCCAGCAGCCGCGGUAAUACGGAGGGUGCGAGCGUUAAUCGGAAUUACUGGGCGUAAAGCGCGCGUAGGCGGUCUGAUAAGCCGGUUGUGAAAGCCCCGGGCUCAACCUGGGAACGGCAUCCGGAACUGUCAGGCUAGAGUGCAGGAGAGGAAGGUAGAAUUCCCGGUGUAGCGGUGAAAUGCGUAGAGAUCGGGAGGAAUACCAGUGGCGAAGGCGGCCUUCUGGACUGACACUGACGCUGAGGUGCGAAAGCGUGGGUAGCAAACAGGAUUAGAUGCCCGAGUAGUC